UCAGCGUUAUGAACUAGGCGCCCAGGAGUCCCUGCUACCCAGCUCUGGAAACAGGAGAAGCUGGACGCCCUGGUCAUGUAGACGGUGGAGUGAAAGCCACCCACAUCACUCUGCUUAUGAAGCUCACAGGGUGACACCAUCUAGGGAGAGUCCUCGUCCUUGCUCCCCUCCACUGGUGACUUUUUCUGCAGGUGUUGACAGUGACAAUCAGGAUUUCUAUCUUCAGGGAGCCUGCAUCAAACCUCUGAAGCCUCCAAAACACAACUCGCUGCUGACUUGCCAACCACUUGGUGUAGUGAGGUUAAUCUGGAAUCACCCAGGAGACACAGGGCCACUUCUGGGCGUGUCUGUGAGGACAUUUCUAGAUUGGCUUAAGAGAAGAGGAAGACUCAUCACGUGUUUCCUUUGGCUUGGGUCCUGGACUGAAUAAAAAGAGUAAAAGAGAAAGCGCCAGCCAUCAAUCACUCUCUUCGCUUCAUUACUGUGGAUGCAACGUGACCAGCCAUCCUGCGCUCUUGCGGCCAUGACUUUCCCAGCAGGACGGACUGUACCCCCUCCAACUGUGUAGCUAAACCAACCUUCAUCUUGAAGUUGUUUUUGUUAUGCAGGAAUGAGAAUAGUGAGCAUGCACUCAGGGCCCUCUAACCUUGCAGCUUUGGGGGCCUUGGGCCUGGAGGUAGAUUUUGCCUCUCCCUAAGGGUGUCUGUGUGAAGAGCAGUGGUUGGUAAUGGAAGCUUAGGACAUUCAAGAUUGGCAGGAAGGGGCUUCAAGGGUGGCCAGCCCCAUUCCUUCUUCAUAGCUGCUGCCAUCAUGAGGCGGAGCCCUCGCUGGGCCUGACAAGUAUGAAGGAGGCACAGAUAUGGCAAUACCACAGCGUUACCUCUACUUUGUAGUCUAAUGAAAAACCAAAAAAAAAAAAAAAGUGAAGUGGUCAUCAAAAUGGUGUCUCUUUUUUGAGACACUUCGAUGACUCAGAGUCUAGGGGCCAUUUUCUAUCACUGUUAGUAGGACGCUUUGCCACAGGUGGAUGAAGACACCUCCCGACCCUUCAAGGGAGCUGGGGUUUAAUGAAUUGUCCUGGGCCCUCCUCUGCACUGUGUUCUGUGAGUUUCUCUGGGGUUCCACUCAGGAUGAGGCAGGAAUCUAGUGUGAAUCUAGCACUGACUGGCUAGGUAGGGGGUGCUGAGAUCUUCAGCCUGUGCUUUCCCUAAUUCUCAUCGCUACUCAAGGUCACCUGACCUCGGUUCUUGGAAGGGGACAAGAGGGUCCCUUUCUUCCCAGCUCCCCUGACAGUGGCUCCAUUGCUGUCUCUGUCCUGUGGGGAGAGUGUUGGCCACUUUCUGCUUAUUGCAAUGGUUGUUGGGAACUCAACUGUUUCCAUAUUGGGCCGUGUGGGCUGUGACCUGGUGGCACUCAGCAAUUCGCCAUCUGAGGUGGGCACCAGCCCUUUGGGGGCCAUGGCUGAGGAGACUUCCGGGGGCUCGGGGGCUGCCCAGCCCAGAAGACUGUCUCCAUUUCCUGGUGUUAUUCUUGGUUUAGAAACCCGAGCGAGUUCUCUGGCUUUUUGGAAAGUCACCCGCUUUCCCUGAGGAAGGAUUUGGACCGCGUCCUGGGUUACAUUUUACGCCAUUGUGCCUUCAUCAGGUCGCUUUUUAAAAAUACAUUUCUCUUCAGCUGAGUCACUUUCCUCCUCCUCCUCCUGACACUCCCGGGAGCCGGAAGGAGCCCUGCCCCGAAUCCUUGGCUCCUCCGGGCCAGAUCUUUUCCAAAUGUCAAACUCUUGGGAACCCUGGCCGAGGGCAGAGUGGGUCCCGACCCUAAUCUCUUUCCUCCAGUCUUGGCUGCUCUCAGCUUUCCCAUCUCAUAGAGAAGGCCUGUGAGCUGGCCGGGAGGACCCUGCCCUGGGGUUUCCAGGGAGGGCCUGGAGAGAAGGCUUCACUCCCAGCAAGGGCUCACACGCCCUUAUUGAGCUGCCACAAAAUCUCCUUAGUGACCUGUGAAUCCCCAGCGUGGUUGAGCUACUCUGGGCCUGUUUGCUGCCCUAGUAUGGAACUGGGAUUCACUCAGAGCCCACACUUAGUAGGUCCUCAACCCUUCAUGUCCACUUUCAGCGAAUUCCCACUGUGGACCACUGCCCCUUUCCUCUGUCUCCCAAUGACUUUGUAGCCUACCUUUGAGAACGGACCAUAGGACAGAACGAAGACAGGGUGGGCUCAUCCUAUGGGUGUUCUGAGCUUUAGGCCUCAACCUUCCAAGAUGGCCCAGAGAUAUGAGCGGUAUCCUUUCUGUGGAGUUCCACGGUGUUCAAAGCAUUUCCUGUGUACUGUGACUGUUCAUAUAGUGGUGGUCAUUUGAAAGUCAUAUUGCCUUGUUUGGGAAGGAGGUAGAUGGGAGGAGUUGAGGAAACAGACCGAGAAAGUUCAGCUGACUUGCCAGGGCCAGCCUCCUAGUGGGUCCUCAUUUGUUCAAACUCUCAUUUCUUUUCCUACUGCUUAUUCAGAGGUGUACCAGGUGCAGGAGGUACAGGGUGAGUGGGUGGCUGCACUGGUACCCUUGUCCAUGUCUCCUGACUCCAAGGUUCUCUAGUCAGUAAUUUAUUUAGUUGCUUGCUUGUUUAUUUAUUGGGCAUGGGUGUGCACAUAUGAAUGGGGAUGGAGGUCAAAGGACAGCUUGUCAGAGUUAGUUCUCUCCCUCUGCCGUGUGGGUCCCGGGGAUUGAACUCUGGCUGUCUGGCUUGGCAGUAGGUGCCUUUCCCCAUGGAACCAUGUCUCCAUCCCUCUACCACAUUUGAAAAAUUCUAGCCCAGCAAAGUCAGACCAACAGAACACAUCAUGGCAUUGUGUUAGAAACUGAAACUUCUUUGCUUGGAAAAUUUGGCAGUUCUAGAAAAAUUUUCUCAUUCGUUCUCUCUCGUACAGGUAACUGCAAAAAAUAAGGAAGUGAACUACAUUCUGUCUUGAUGGCAUUUAGGUCCUGUAGUUAUUCUAGUACCAAGGGUGAACUCAAACCACAGUUUGGAUUUGAAGAAAAUGCUGUAAAAUCCACUAACCUGUCUUGAGAGUAGUCAGUUACUGUGGAAGAGGAAAAUUACCCAGAGGCAGCCAUGUUCUAAGAGGCCUUUGAGGAUGUGGUGCAGAGGAAGGGAUGGGAUGGGAGCAUUGAGGCGCCAUCUUGUAGAGGACACUGGGAUGUUGGGAGUAGAGUUUCCAGUCAUUCAUUACCUCAGGCAAUGCCAGGGGAAAGAGUGUAAUCAUCCAGAUGAGUUCCUUCCAAGUUUCUGACCCACAGAAUGAUAAGCUAAUUAAAUUAGCUGUCUGAUAUCUACUGCUGAGGCAGGAGGGUGAAUUCUAGGGACUGCUCCUUCUGUCUGUACAAAGCUCUCUGCCCCUCAGCCCUUCCUGCAGUCACUGCUGGCCGGGAGGGCAAGCAGGUGGUCCCAGCGUCCUUCACAUUGCUCUUCUUUUGCAUGCCCUUCCCCCUCCUUCAUUUCAGAAUCCUAAAACUUUCUGGACCACGUGUGUUGGGACCCACUGACGGUUCUUCUGAGCACCCGGUGAGAAGCUUGGCGGCCUCUGAGAGCGACUCAGAGGAGCAUUUCUCUUUUCCCCAAGUCAUAGCUCAUCCAGGCACAUCUGAUGUUCAAUGGUGGCUAUGUGUAGUCCCAAAGGAGCCAUGGAGUCUGGGUCUUGUCAAGUGACAGGGUACAUGGUGUUGGCAUCCAUUUCAGGCACGAAUUCAAGUUGGCUCUGUGACUUUUCUUCUCUUUGGGGAGUGCGUUUUUUUUUCUUUUUUUCUUUUUGAGGAGUGAUAAAACUAAACUGCUUAUGCAAGCAGUAACAUGGGACUCAAGUCCAAAGUUGCUUCCCUCUCUUCUUUGCUCACAGAAAAAAUAAUUCACAUAAAAGCUGUUCGCUGGCCAAGGCUUGUCCCCUCCUCGGCAGGGACUUUCUUUUUUGUUGACUUCAGCACAAAUUCAGAUUUCUCUCUCCAGAUUUUGGGGUGUGUCUCCAUAUCCCUUGGGGAACUUUGUUUAGACCCAGGCAUAUUUGAGGCUUCUUUGCUUUCUUUCUCCCCAAGAUUAAUAAUCCAACCACGAGGGUUCAGGGAGGCAGCUGCCUGUGUGAAUUCAUUUGUGUGCAUUAAACCCAUGUGCUCAUACCUGGGAUGAGAGCAGGUGUCAGAUGGAGUCACAGGGUGGCUGCAUGUCACCAAUGACACGAGUGGCCUCAUCCCGAGGCGGGGCAUAGUACGAUGUGGUUGCGCCUCAGUUUCUUUAUCUGUGACCUGGGGUUUGGAAAUGAUAUCUGCUCAGCACCAGCAGAAACAAGAGCAUAUAAGUGGCCCUCAAGACUCGGCACCAGCCAUGCUGAGGAUGACUGUGGUGAGCAGUUGAGGGGAGCCUGGAUGCUCAGACAGGACUGGCCUUGGAGUGGGUGUGAUGGAAGGAUGGGGAAGGGCUCAUUGUGUGCUCGCACCAGCCACCUGCUCCCCAGGUGCUUUCCUCAGUGGCCUGGGGAGGUGGGGGGUAUCUAUGAAGUCCACAUGCAGACACACGCUCCUCAUCAUGUCCGCCUGUGCCAACCAGCCCUCCAGUCUCUGCAGGAAGCAAAAAUGAGAGCAUCCAUUUUCUUCUCUGCUCUGUGGCGAAAUUUCACCAAGGCCGGUGCUCUAGAAAUAUAUUUAUUCUCUUCCCAGGCUGCAUGCAAGGCCUCACCUGUUUUGAGUUCAGGCUCCUGCUCUCUAACUACAUGGUUAUCUAUACCUGGGCUCCCCCUCUUCUUCUUCUUCUUCUCCUUCUCCUUCUUCUCCUUCUUCUCCUUCUUCUCCUCCUUCUU